AAGUCGUAACAAGGUUUCCGUAGGUGAACCUGCGGAAGGAUCAUUAAUGAAGUCUGGGUGUCAAAACCCUCUCUCUUCUACACACUUGUGAACUUACACUGUUGCUUUGGUAGGUUUCCUGACGGGUUUCAAACCCUGACGGUCAGGUCGAAAGACGCCUGCCAAAGACAUUUAUCCACCCUUUUUUAUCGUCUGAUUUUUGUUUUAAACAAAUAUAAAAAA
rnacentral:misc_RNA from 1 species